rnacentral:rRNA from 1 species
CUACGGGCCGCUGCAGUCGAGAAUCUUUUGCAAUGCGCGAAAGCGUGACAAUGCGACGCCGCGUGAAUGAUGAAGGUCUUCGGAUCGUAAAGUUCUGUCAACCUGGAUGAAAGUCUUAUAUUUAAUAAACUUAAGACCUGACGGUACAGGUAGAGGAAGCCACGGCUAACUCCGUGCCAGCAGCCGCGGUAAUACGGAGGGUGGCAAGCGUUGUUCGGAUUUAUUGGGUGUAAAGGGUAUGUAGGUGUCCUUGCAAGUCUUUCUUGAAAAACAUCGGCUCAACCGGUGUCCUGGGAAGGAAACUGUUAGGAUUGAGUAUUGGAGAGGAAAGCGGAAUUCCUGGUGUAAGGGUGAAAUCUGUAGAUAUCAGGAGGAACACCAAUGGCGAAGGCAGCUUUCUGGCCAGAUACUGACACUGAAAUACGAAAGCUAGGGUAGCAAACAGGAUUAGAUACCCGGGUAGUC